UUCGGGGUAAUUAGGGGAUAAACGAACUGGAGGAGCGUCUCUUUGUAAUGUCCCAAAUGUGUUGAAAGCUAAUGCAGCAAUUGUGUUAACUUGUUCCUGCAGUUGGGAAAUUAUGUCCAUCUUCAACCUUAUCCCUAAGAAGAAAUGUCCGGAAGAUGAUUCAGCGAACAAUACCCAAUCACUGCAGUUAAAUCAGCAAACAACUUCCAGAAACUGACUGAUUAGGAGUAAGAUCCGCCGUUAACCUCCAAGGACUGUCAUCGCGGGUUCGUGAUCGUCGCGCUGCUGCCGGAGACAAGGGAGGGCCUAG
rnacentral:misc_RNA from 1 species